GUCUAUGGCCAUACCACAGAAUAUGCCCAAUCUCAUCUGAUCUUGGGACUGGUUUGUAUGUGGAUGGGAUACCACUUUGGAAUACUGGAUGCCAUAGGCU
rnacentral:rRNA from 1 species